GCAGACCAGCUCAGGCAGCUCAGUUCCACUGUGACAAGACCACUGUCACCUGGGGAGCAAUUUGUUAGAGUAACAGCACCUGUUUGGGAUUUUAUUGGCUUCUGGCUUUUUACUUCAUGGACAGGAUUUGGCGAUGAGGAUCAAACAAAUAAAUGCCCAGUUGUUGACGCAAAGAACAAAGACCUUGAAACCGCCUUGGAAUCAACGCUGGCAGAAAAGUUUUCUUAAAGGACCAGAAGAUAAUUUCUACCGGGGUGAAACAAAAAUGUGUUAGGGCUUCACUUUUUAAAAUGCAACGGCAACGUCAGUUCUAUCUCACAGAGGUUUCCUAAAGAUGUAAGGGCGCUUCCGGAACAUUAUGCUGGAGAAGCAAGACGUGGAGACCACGUGUUGUCUGACUCCGUUCAUAUGAAACAUCCAGAACAGGCAAACCCAUAGGGCAGAAAGUAGAUAGAAGAUGGUGAAAUUUUUGCAAGUAUUAAUCAGAAGGAUGGGAUGGUCAGUUUCCAUGAUAACCCUGAAAAAUAUAAUAACCCCGCCAUGCUUCAUAACAUUGAUCAGGAGAUGCUGAGGUGCAUAGAGCUGGACGAACGGCUGAGGGCCAUGGACCAGGAGAUCACAGUGAACCCCCAGUUCGUGCAGAAGAGCAUGGGGUCACAGGAAGACGAUUCGGGAAACAAGCCAUCCAGUUACUCCUGAAGCCAGGGCUCAUCGUGAGUCAGAGACGCCUUCGCCGUGGCCGGGGCAGGUGUCGGGAGGGCAGCAGGGAGGACCAGGCCCAUCUCACCUGGGCGUUGAGACAGUGUGUUUCGUUUUGACGUCCUCGGUCCGGUGUGCUUUCAGAAAACCAUUCUCUCUGCAAAGAAAGGAAAACGUUUUCAAACUUUAAAGCCUGUUGUGGAUUUAUUUAUCCUCAGAUUAAUGUGGUUAUUGCAUUAAAUCUACCUUUUUGUUUUAAAUUA